UUGACUCGUUCUCUCACUGUAAUCUUCCUCGAGGUGAAAAGUUGAAGUCUCUGAGAAAACCCAUCAAAACUUCCUUAUUUUCUUCCUCAAGGCGAGAAGUCUCUCAAGUCUAAGAACUCUGAGAAAACUCCUAUUAACCAAAUCAAGCUCCAUUGAUAUACUAGCUUCAAUCCAGUAAUACCCAUGCCAAAAUGCUCCUUAUUUCACACACAGCUCCUGAGCAAAUCAAUCAAGAAAGCUCUCAAGAUGGGCCUCUCUUCAGUCCCACCUAAGUUCCCUACUCCAAUUCACUCUUAUUCCCACUUCUCUGUUUUCACCAUUCCAUCGAACAAUACCUCUGAAACCGAACCUGAUAACAUAGGGGAAACUGAGCCCCCAAUAUCUGAUGAAAUCUUCAAGUCAAGUCACAAAUUGGGUUCUUACAAACCGGGUGAUUCUACUUUCUAUUCACUCAUUGCGAACUAUGCCGACUUGGGUGAUUUUAGGUCGUUAGAGAAGGUUUUAGAUCGAAUGAAACGCGAAAACCGACGGUUUAUGGAGAGAUGUUUUGUUGUAAUUUUUAGAGCUUAUGGGAAAGCGCAUUUACCUGAAAAAGCUGUCCAAUUGUUUGAUAGAAUGGCCUAUGAGUUUCAUUGUCGGAGGACUGUGAAGUCGUUUAAUUCGGUUCUAAAUGUUAUUAUACAAGAAGGUCGUUUUUCUCACGCAUUAGAGUUUUAUUCGCGGGUCAUUGGUAGCAGGGAUUCGAAUAUUUUGCCAAAUGUGCUUACCUUCAAUUUGGUUAUUAAGGCUUUGUGUAAGUUGGGAAUGAUUGAUAGAGCGGUUGAGAUGUUUAGAGAAAUGCCGCUAAGAAAAUGCACUCCUGAUGUGUUCACGUAUAGUACAUUGAUGGAUGGAUUGUGCAGGGAGAUUAGGAUUGAUGAGGCGGUCUCACUGUUGGAUGAGAUGCAAAUUGAGGGGUGUUUCCCGAGUGCUGCAACAUUUAAUGUGCUGAUCAAUGCAGUGUGCAAGAAGGGUGACUUGGCACGUGCUGCAAAGCUCGUUGAUAAUAUGUUUCUAAAAGGAUGUGUUCCUAAUGAAGUGACUUAUAACACCCUUAUCCAUGGUUUGUGUCUCAAGGGAAAAUUAGAGAAAGCAGUGAGUCUACUGGAUCGAAUGGUAUCAAGUAAAUGUGUGCCUAAUGACAUCACUUAUGGAACAAUCAUCCAUGGGCUUGUAAAACAAGGAAGAGCUGUUGAUGGGGCUCGUCUGUUGAUUUCUAUGGAGGAGAGAGGUCAUCGUGCAAAUGAGUAUGCUUACUCAGCCCUUGUUAGCGGUUUGUUUAGGGAGGGAAAGAUGGAAGAGGCUAUGAAAUUGUGGAAGGAAAUGGUGGAAAGGGGAUGCAAACCAAAUACUGUCGUUUAUAGUGCUCUUAUAGAUGGUCUGUGCCGAGAAGGGAGGUUGGAUGAAGCAAAGGACGUUCUCUCUGAGAUGGUGAAAGAGGGCUGCAUGCCCAACGCUUUCACAUAUAGCUCCUUAAUGAAGGGCUUCUUCCAAAUAGGCGAUUGCCAUAAAGCUAUUCUUGUGUGGAAAAAUAUGGAAAAUGAUAAUUUUAUCCGUAAUGAGGUUUGUUACAGCGUACUUAUUCAUGGUUUAUGUGAGGAUGGGAAACUUAGGGAGGCCUUGAUGGUGUGGAAGCAGAUGUUGGGAAAGGGAUUUAAACCUGAUGUUGUUGCUUACAGUUCCAUGAUUCAUGGUCUUUGCAAUGCUGGUUUGGUGGAGCAGGGUUUGAAACUUUUCAAUGAAAUGCUUUGUCAAGAACCAGAAUCUCAACCUGAUGUGAUUACUUAUAACAUCAUUUUCAAUGCUUUGUGCAAGCAGAGUAGCAUUUCACGCGCCAUUGAUUUCUUAAACAGUAUGAUGGAUCAAGGUUGUGAUCCAGACUUAGUUACAUGCAACGUUUUUUUGCGAGCUUUAAGAGAAAAGGUACACCCACCUCAAGAUGGGAGGGAGUUUUUAGAUGAACUUGCUAUUCGGCUGUUUAAGCGACACAGGAUUUUAGGUGCUUCCAAAAUUGUAGAAGUGAUGUUGCAGAAGUUUUUGCCUCCAAAAGCCUCUACCUGGGCUAGAGUUGUUCAAGAGCUUUGCAAACCUAAGAAAAUUCAAGCUGCCAUUGACAAGUGUUGGAGCAGCCUCUACUGCUGAUUUCUUAAGCUGGAGUCUUUUGCAGUUCAAUUUCUCAUUGUUUCCCUGGAGCCCAAGACGUCCAUCUCACCAAGCACUGAUACAAUGGGCGAAGUAAUAGUACCAGAUUAUGAUAUUUGUUGGCCGAAACUGCCACAACCACCGCACGUAAACUGAGAUCUAGGGCAAGGCAAACCUAGGGGCCACACAUACCACUUUCUACAAGUCGUGCCUUAUGCAUACCACUGUCAUGUAACAUCUGCUUAGGGAAUUGGACAAUAUCACUCUAGAAUUGACUGUGCGGAGGAUUCAUGGUGUUGAAAGAAGCUUGGAUGAGCAGAUGACAAAGGUGAGCAAUCUGAUUGGUCUGUGGGACGAAGAUGGGGGAGGUGAGGAGAGGGGCAGAUAUGUCAGGUGAUGUUGGUCGGGGAUGGAGCUCGAGUUUCUUCAGCUUCAUAUCUCUGGUGCAUAUGGUAUAUUGGUGGUUCUGCUGUUGAAGAACAACGUUUAGUAUUGAAAUGUUUGAAUGAGAAAGCUGAAAUCUUUCAGCUAUUAAUCGUUCUUGCUGGACUUGCAGCAGGUCGAAACUUUUUUGGGUAGAAAAAGCUUUUUAUUUAUUUAUUUUAUCAUUUAUGGUGAUAGUGUUGUACAAAGUAUUAAAGCCUGGAAAUUGUAUUCUAAAAAGCUUAUUAUAAUAGAAAUUGCUUU